rnacentral:rRNA from 1 species
CAGCACCUCAAGUGGUCAGGAUGAUUAUUGGGCCUAAAGCAUCCGUAGCCGGCGCUGUAAGUUUUCGGUUAAAUCUGUACGCUCAACGUACAGGCUGCCGGGAAUACUGCAGCGCUAGGGAGUGGGAGAGGUAGACGGUACUCGGUAGGAAGGGGUAAAAUCCUUUGAUCUAUUGAUGACCACCUGUGGCGAAGGCGGUCUACCAGAACACGUCCGACGGUGAGGGAUGAAAGCUGGGGGAGCCAACCGGAUUAGAUACCCGUGUAGUCC